CCCUUAGAUGUUCUGGGCCGCACGCGUGCUACACUGAGUGGAUCAGCGGGUCAGGUUGCGCGAAAGCGUUUCCUAAUCUUUAAAUCCGCUCGUGAUGGGGAUUGACGGUCGCAAUUUUCUGUCAUGAACGAGGAAUACCUUGUAAGCGCGGGUCAUCAUCCCGCGCUGAAUACGUCCCUGCCCUUUGUACACACCGCCCGUCGCUCCUACCGAUUGAGCGGUCCGGUGAGGCUUUGGGAUCUGAGCGGAAAGAGCGUUUCGCUGUUUCUGCUCGGAAAACUCAGUCGAACCUUAUCAUUUAGAGGAAGGAGAAGUCGUAACA
rnacentral:rRNA from 1 species